rnacentral:rRNA from 1 species
GAAGCAGGGGGGACCACCCUCCAAGGCAAAACACAGAUAUCGACCGAUAGCGCAUAGUACCAUGAGGGAAAGGUGAAAAGCACCCCGGGAGGGGAAUGAAAGAGAACCUGAAACCGUAUGUUUACAAGCAGUCGGAGACCGCUUAAUAAUAAGGUCGACGGCGUGCCUAUUGAAGAAUGAACCGGCGAGUUACGAAGCCUGGCAAGGUUAAGCAGGAAAUGCGGAGCCGAAGCGAAAGCGAGUCUUAAGAGGGCGCAAGUCAGGAAGCGUAGACCCGAAACCACAGUGAUCUACCCAUGUCCAGGUUGAAACACAGGUAAAAAUGUGUGGAGGACCGAACCUAUAUCCGUUGAAAAGGGUUAGGAUGAGGUGUGGGUAGGGGUGAAAUUCCAAUCGAACGUGGAGAUAGCUGGUUCUCCCCGAAAUAGCUUUAGGGCUAGCCUCAGGGAAAAGAUUGCAGGCGGUAGAGCACUGAUCAGGAGAGGGACCUACCCGGUUACCAAACCCAGUCAAACUCCGAAUGGCUGCAAUCAUACCUGGGAGUCAGACUGCGACUAAUAAGGGCCGCAGUCAAAAGGGAAACAGCCCAGACCAUCAGCUAAGGUCCCCAAUGCCGUGCUAAGUGGCGAAGGAUGUGGCAUUUCAUAAACAACCAGGAUGUUGGCUCAGAAGCAGCCACCAUUUAAAGAGUGCGUAAUAGCUCACUGGUCGAGAGACGCUGCGCCGAAAAUGUCCGGGGCUCAAGCACGGAACCGAAGCUAUGGCAUGAUAGCAAUAUCAUGGGUAGGGGAGCGUUCUUAUAAGGAAGAAGCAUGACCGGAAGGACAUGUGGACGAAUAAGAAGUGAGAAUGCCGGUAUGAGUAUCGAAAAGAAAGGUGAGAAUCCUUUCCACCGAAAGCCCGAGGGUUCCUGAGCAACGAUCGUCGACUCAGGGUAAGUCGGGACCUAAGCCGAGGCGAGAAGCGUAGGCGAUGGACAACAGGUUGAAAUUCCUGUACCGGAUCAAGUCGAUCGAGCGAAGGAGCGACGCAGGAGGGCACAUGAUCGCGCGGCUGGAAGAGCGCGUCCAAGUGCGUAUGUUGCAGCAGAGGAAAACCCCUGCAGCUAAAAGCAGAGACAUGAUGGGGAGUUAAAGGAAACUUUGACGAACUCAUGGAUCCCACACUGCCAAGAAAAACUUCUAGCGAGACAAGAUCCGCCCGUACCGUAAACCGACACAGGUAGGCGGGGAGAGAAUCCUAAGGUGCGCGGGAAAACCCUCGUUAAGGAACUCGGCAAAUUGCAUCCGUAACCUAGGGAGAAGGAUGGCCCCCGGUCAGUGAAGAGCAGAAACGCUCAGAGCUAAAAGGGGCGGCAGAAAAGAGGCCCAAGCAACUGUUUACCAAAAACACAGGUGCCUGCGAAAGCGAAAGCUGAAGUAUAGGUGCUGACGCCUGCCCGGUGCCGGAAGGUUAAGGAGAGAAGUUAGCGAAAGCGAAGCAUCGAACUGAAGCCCCGGUGAACGGCGGCCGUAACUAUAACGGUCCUAAGGUAGCGAAAUUCCUUGUCGGGUAAGUUCCGACCCGCACGAAAGGCGUAACGAUUUGGGCACUGUCUCAACGAGGGACCCGGUGAAAUUGAAAUACCUGUGAAGAUGCAGGUUACCCGCGACUGGACAGAAAGACCCCAUGGAGCUUUACUGCAACCUAAGAUUGAACUUAGUUAAUGAAUGUACAGGAUAGGUGGGAGACGUAGAACCUAGGACGCUAGUUUUAGGGGAGUCGCUGUUGGGAUACCACCCUUCUGUUGCUGAGAUUCUAACGCGAGGAGUAACGACCCUGCGGACCCUCUCAGGCAGGCGGUUUGACUGGGGCGGUCGCCUCCGAAAGAGUAACGGAGGCGCCCAAAGGUUCCCUCAGGCCGGACAGAAACCGGCCGAAGAGUGCAAAGGCAGAAGGGAGCUUGACUGCGAGACCAACAAGUCGAGCAGAGACGAAAGUCGGGCUUAGUGAUCCGGUGGUACUGGGUGGAAAGGCCAUCGCUCAACGGAUAAAAGCUACCCUGGGGAUAACAGGCUAAUCUCUCCCAA